rnacentral:lncRNA from 1 species
AUGGCCUACAAAGUAAAAAGUGUUUUCUCUCUUGUCCUUUACAGGAAGUUUGCUGAUGGCCAGAACGUCAUAAAAACAGGUGAUUUGCUCCAUUCCAUUUCUCAAUCCUCCUCUCACCCAACCUGGAAUAGCUUCUUCCUGAAGGCUUUGCUGCCUACCAGCCUCAGACAAGCCUGUGGAUUAGGAGGAGUGUGUCCCUGGUGCCUAACAUGGCCAACAUCCCCUUUGCCCCUUGCCCAUGGCUUGAGCACCAGAACCUUGGUAAGACUUGUUGCACCCUGGCACCAUUUCUGCCACACAGAAGUCACAAAAUAGAUGCCCUUCCCCUUCCCUGUCCAUGCUUCUCACCUCCUGGUUUUUCCUCUUUUCUACCUUCUCCUUCCCAAAUCCAAACAUCUUUUUUUCCCCCAGCAUGAGAAGUGUUGCUAUUAAUAACUGCUCUGGGACAAUUGGAGCUAUUAUGGAUACUUGCCUCCUAGGACUGCUGUAAUAAAGAACCACAAGUGGGAUGGCUUAGAGCCAAACUGUUUUCUCCCAGUUCUGACAGCCAGAAGUCAGAAAUCCACGUGUCAGCAAGAUUGGCACCUUCUGGAAGUUCUGACGGAGAUUUCAUCCCAUGCCCUUCUCAUAGCUGCUGGUGGUCACUGUAAUCCUUGGCAUAGCUUGGCUUGGAGAUACCACACUCCCGUCCCUGCCUCCAUCAUCACAUAGUGUUCUUACCCUGCACCCAUCUGUUUCUCCUUCUAAGGACACUCGGCAUAUUGGAUUAAGGCCUCCCUCUAACAACCUCAACUUGAUUGCACCUGAAAAGACCCUAUUUCCAAAUAAGUUCACCAUUCACAGAUGCAGGGGGUUGGGACUUCCACAGAUUUUUUAUGGGGGAUAUAAUUCAACCCAUCAGCCUCGAACUAGCUUUCUGACCUGUAACAUGGAGGUAGUAAGAGCAUCUACUACAGAGAUUCUUGUGAAGAUUAAUUGACCAACAUGUCUAGGCCUUCACAAAAUGCUCACAACAGGAUCAUGUUCAGCCUUUUCCCUCUUCUGCUUCUCCCACUUAGGCACCCAGGUGUGUGGCUUCUUUGUCAUUUGUGUUUGCUCAGUAUAGAAAUGUGAAGCAAACAAAUAAUCUAUAUAUUGCCUAUUUUCAUCCUUCCCAUCAUUAAUUUAGAAGGUAAUACUGAAGUGUACUCUUUCAAAAUGACAUGUUUACCUUUUGCAACAUUUCCAGGAGAGAUUCAGACUCCAGUGGCUUGUAAAAGAGUGCUCUGUGCUUACCGGCACACUACCCCAGGUCUUCUGUUGUGAGUGAAGCUUCUUCUGAAGAAGAAAGCCAUGGAGAAGUCAAUUCCUCCCAAACACUACCCAGGGAAUGGGGUAAGAAUCUAUUGAUGUUCACUGUCAGACCAGAAAUUAAGAGAGCCAGAGGAGCACCCAAUGAGGCCUGGAACAGUCCUAUUUUAGAAAAGCACAAGACAUGAAAGCCUUUUAGAUCCCAAUCAGUCACUCCUUUGUACCUGGAGGCUGCAGGCAGGCACAUCAAAAGGCACAUUAGACCUCAGAGUCAGCCCUCCUGCAGUUCCAGGGUGGAUUCUGCACCACUUGGUAAGAAUCACUUGUGGUUCUUGUUUUGUUUUGUUUUUUUUUUUAAUUAAUUAAUUUAUUUUAGAGAGAAAGAGCACAAGUUGGAGGAGCAGAGGGAGAGAAUCUCAAGCAGACUCCACACUGCAUGCAGAGCCCAAUGUGGGUCUCAAUCUCAUGAUCCUGAGAUCAUGACCUGAACUAAAACCAGGAGUUGGAUGACCAACUGACUGUGCCACCCAAGUGUCCUGAGUUUGUGGUUCUUAGUUCUUUGUUUCUCUUUUCAGUUGGUCACACUUUGUUUUUAACUUCUUAUAAACAGCAAAAUCCCUGACCCAAAGGCAGAUCCUAUUCUAGAAGGUUCUAUAAGAGCUGUAUCAGUCAGUCUUAAACAGAGGGCUGCUUGUUGUCAAGCACUGUAUUGGAGGAGAGAAAAAGUGUGAUUUGAUGACAAGUAAUGAUAUUUCGGUAUUGCACCGAAUAAUGAUAAUGACAAUUAUUGUUCUCAUGAUUAUUCCAGCCUUCAUUUAAUAAGCUCUCACCAUGUGCUAUACACUGUGCCGAGCAUUUCACACUAUGUUAUGAAACCCUUUCAUAACACCUUGAGGCUGAUAUGUCAUUAGUCCCAUUUUACAGAUAAGAAACUGAAUUCACAGCACAGGAUAAUGUAUAUGAUGAAGUAUCUCAAAAUUGCUCAUAGGAGGAAUGAUUAAAAAUAAGGGAAUGGACCAGAAGGAAUGAGCUUUGAGACCAGGGAUACCUGGGCUCAAAUCUCUGCUUUCUCCCAUUUCGGUUCUGUAGCCAUGAUCAGUCCUAGAAACGUUCUUUGAAUUCAGUAUUUUCAUCUGUAAACUAAUGGCAAUUACUGCCUUGAAGAGAUGCUGUAAUUAGAGGAUUGAUAUAAAUGAAGUUCAUUGAACACAGCCGGGGCAGCAUGGUGGUGGUGAUAUUUAUGAUGCUGUUGUUAAGAUUGGAGGUUAAGAAAAUGUGAGGAAACAACGUAUAUUCCAGAUGCUCUAGAGCUGUCCUGUAGAAAGAUUAGUUUUUUUUCCACAUAACUUUUUUUUGGAGGAAACUUCUUUGGUAGAUUUCACUUCAAAUGUUUACACAGCUUGUUGGAAUUGACCAAUAGAAGAGACAGAUUUUUACUCAAUACAAAGGAGGAUGUUCUUUGAACUAGAGGAGAACAUACAUACUGCUUGGGCUAGAAGUAAAGGAGGUGCUGGUAGACCUUCUACCAAAGAUACUCAGAGAUUGCUUCAUUUCUGGGAAGCCAGAAUUGAGAAUGGGAUGCUGAGGAUGCCAGUUGGUUAACAUUCUUUUUUGUCUUCUUAUGUAUAAGACAGUGUGCUAAAAUCUGAAACAUACAUAUUCAGUUUUGAUCUAUAUGACCACCCUCUGAGACAGGAAUGGCUAUUUUCCCAUGAUUUAGACACAGAAUCUGAGCCCGUGGAGAUUCUGUGACUUUAGGGUGGGAGCCAGAAUGCAAGCCUUCUAUUUUGACUCUGAGUCAGAGUAUAUCUAUACAGAUUUUAAAUAUGACAGUAACAGCUCUUGGGUAUUGAGCACUUACUAUUUACUAGAUGUUCUACUUUUACUUUAGUUCUUCUCUUGGAUACCAACUUGAUUUGUUUUUGCACUUCCUUCAGGUCUUUAUUGAAAUUGUCACCUAUGAGCCCACUAUUUUUCUACUUUCAAUUUAUUACCAGCUGACGCUCACUCAGUUCUUCAUCUGCUUCUUCAGUAGUCUAGUUUCCUAUCCCCUUCCCCUUUCCC